AUUGCUUCUAGCCUUUUGGCUAAGAUCAAGUGCAGUAUCUGUUCUUAUCAGUUUAAUAUCUGAUACAUCCUCUAUCCGAGGACAAUAUAUUAAAUGGAUUUUUAAAUCUGGGAGUUGGAAUAGGAGCUUGCUCCAUCCAUUCCACGCAUCUACCUGGUAUUGCAGUACCUCCAGAAAAGGAACAAAAAAA